AGUGAACGCUGGCGGUAGGCCUAACACAUGCAAGUCGAACGGCAGCACAGUAAGAGCUUGCUCUUACGGGUGGCGAGUGGCGGACGGGUGAGGAAUACAUCGGAAUCUACUUUUUCGUGGGGGAUAACGUAGGGAAACUUACGCUAAUACCGCAUACGACCUACGGGUGAAAGCAGGGGAUCUUCGGACCUUGCGCGAUUCAAUGAGACGAUGUCGCAUUAGCUAGUUGGCGGGGUAAAGGCACACCAAGGCGACGAUCCGUAGCUGGUCUGAGAGGAUGAUCAGCCACACUGGAACUGAGACACGGUCCAGACUCCUACGGGAGGCAGCAGUGGGGAAUAUUGGACAAUGGGCGCAAGCCUGAUCCAGCCAUACCGCGUGGGUGAAGAAGGCCUUCGGGUUGUAAAGCCCUUUUGUUGGGAAAGAAAAGCAGCAGGUGAAUACCCCGCUGUUCUGACGGUACCCAAAGAAUAAGCACCGGCUAACUUCGUG
rnacentral:rRNA from 1 species